rnacentral:rRNA from 1 species
CACGUAGGGUGCGAGCGUUGUCCGGAAUUAUUGGGCGUAAAGGGCUCGUAGGCGGUUUGUCGCGUCGGGAGUGAAAACACCGGGCUUAACUCGGUGCUUGCUUUCGAUACGGGCAGACUAGAGGUAUGCAGGGGAGAACGGAAUUCCGUGGUGUAGCGGUGAAAUGCGCAGAUAUCAGGAGGAACACCGGUGGCGAAGGCGGUUCUCUGGGCAUUACCUGACGCUGAGGAGCGAAAGUGUGGGGAGCGAACAGG